rnacentral:lncRNA from 1 species
AAACACGGACUCUUGUCUGUUACUUUAAGUAACUCAUAGUCUAGUCUGGGAAUUUCAUGUUCCUAGAAUGAUUAGAAACAAAGAUGUCUAAGGAAGGGGAGUGGGAAAAUGGCUCCUUAAAAGGCUUUUUGAGAAGGAUUCUGAAAUCACAUCAGAGCUGAGUGAGGACAAGUGCCCUAAUGAACUGCUGGUGUUUGCCAUGGCCAUGGAGAAGAGAGGGCAGAGGCACCUGAGCCGUUGCCUUAAUCUUCACCCUAACAGCCUGAGGACAAAGGAGCCAUUGAGGAAGUCCAUAAAG